AGUGAACGCUGGCGGUAGGCCUAACACAUGCAAGUCGAACGGCAGCACAGUAAGAGCUUGCUCUUACGGGUGGCGAGUGGCGGACGGGUGAGGAAUACAUCGGAAUCUACUUUUUCGUGGGGGAUAACGUAGGGAUACUUACGCUAAUACCGCAUACGACCUACGGGUGAAAGCAGGGGAUCUUCGCACCUUGCGCGAUUGAAUGAGCCGAUGUCGGAUUAGCUAGUUGGCGGGGUAAAGGCCCACCCAGGCGGCGAUCCGUAGCUGGUCUGAGAGGAUGAUAACCGACAUGGGAACUGAGACAGGGUCCAGACGCCUACGGGAGGGAGCAGUGGGGUAUAUUGGGCAAUGGGCGCGAGCCUGAUCCAGUCAUACCGAGUGGGUGAAGGAGGCGUCGGGGUUGUAAAGCCCUUUUGUUGGGAAAGAACAGCAUCAGGUUAAGACGCCGCGGUACUGACGGUACCGAAAGAAGAAGCACCGGCUAACUUCGUG
rnacentral:rRNA from 1 species